AUGCUACUAUCUAAUCAGCACUUGGAAUUUUAUAAAAGUGCACUUCCUCAACCUUUGACUUCGAUUCAGCGUCUUUAUAUUAGUCGGCUAGUUGAGAAAUAUGGAGCUGAUUUUCAGAGAAUGAUGAUGGAUAUAAAGCUAAAUCCUAUGCAGCAUUCUGUUGCAACUUUAGAGAAAUUGUGUAUGAGCUAUUACAUUUACAAGAACAAGAAUCCUCUUAUUGUUGGAAGAUGA